rfam:Oryza glumipatula chromosome 12, whole genome shotgun sequence.
GAAAAGUGUGACCAUUUCUCUAUUCCAUCAAAUCAUCUGACAAUGAGCUUUGAAAGAAUGUAUUAUUUUAUUGUUACUAGAUUAUAAAACAUGAAUAGUACUUUAUGCGUGACUUAUGUUUUUUAGUUUUUUCAAAAAAAAAAUUCAAAUAAGACGAACAAUUAAAGUUGGAUACGGAAACUCAUGGCUGCGCUUAUU